AACGAACGAGACUCUAACCUGCUAAAUAGUACACGUGCAACGUUAUGUGGUAUUCAUGGAUGGGCCUCGGUCUGUUCGUGGAGCCAUGUAAGCAGGCGAAACUUCUUAGAGAGACUGGUGUCCUAUAAGGCACACGAGAAAGAGCAAUAACAGGUCUGUGAUGCCCUAAGAUGUCCGGGGCCGCACGCGUGUUACAAUGACGAUGUUAAUGAGUAUGCAUUCCUGGCUCGGAAGAGUCGGGUAAACUUUUUAAUCAUCGUCGUGACUGGAAUUGGGGUUUGUAAUUAUUCCCCAUGAACCAGGAAUUCCUAGUAAGUACAAGUCAUUAGCUUGUGCUGAUUACGUCCCUGCCCUUUGUACACACCGCCCGUCGCUACUACCGAUUGAAUGGUUUAGCAAGGCCACUGGAUCGGCGUUUAUGCGGCGUCAGUCGCUGAAUGCUGAGAAGAUGACCGAACUUGAUCGUUUAGAGGAAGUACAAGUCGUAACAAGGUUUCCGUAGGUGAACCUGCGGAAGGAUCAUU
rnacentral:rRNA from 1 species